rnacentral:rRNA from 1 species
CGGGGUGCACCAGGCGCGAAACCUCUGCAAUAGGCGAAAGCCUGACAGGGUUACUCUGAGUGAUUCCCGCUAAGGGGAUCUUUUGGCACCUCUAAAAAUGGUGCAGAAUAAGGGGUGGGCAAGCCUGGUGUCAGCCGCCGCGGUAAUACCAGCACCCCGAGUGGUCGGGACGAUUAUUGGGCCUAAAGCAUCCGUAGCCGGCCACGCAAGUCCUCCGUUAAAUCCACCCGCUCAACGGUUGGGCUGCGGAGGAUACUACGUGGCUAGGAGGCGGGAGAGGCAAGCGGUACUCAAUGGGUAGGGGUAAAAUCCUUUGAUCCAUUGAAGACCACCAGUGGCGAAGGCGGCUUGCCAGAACGCGCUCGACGGUGAGGGAUGAAAGCUGGGGGAGCAAACCGGAUUAGAUACCCGGGUAGUCCCAGCUGUAAACGAUGCAGACUCGGUGAUGGGAUGGCCUCGAGCCAUCCCAGUGCCGCAGGGAAGCCGUUAAGUCUGCCGCCUGGGGAGUACGGUCGCAAGACUGAAACUUAAAGGAAUUGGCGGGGGA